rnacentral:rRNA from 1 species
GAUGAACGCUAGCUACAGGCUUAACACAUGCAAGUCGCGGGGUAACAUCUGGGAGAGCUUGCUCUUCCAGGAUGACGACCGGCGCACGGGUGAGUAACGCGUAUCCAACCUGGCCCAUACCACGGGAUAGCCCGUCGAAAGGCGGAUUAAUACCGUAUGCUGUCAUCAAGAUGCAUAUAUUGAUGACGAAAGGACUGGCGGUAUGGGAUGGGGAUGCGUCUGAUUAGCUUGUUGGCGGGGUAACGGCCCACCAAGGCGACGAUCAGUAGGGGUUCUGAGAGGAAGGUCCCCCCACAUUGGAACUGAGACACGGUCCAAACUCCUACGGGAGGCAGCAGUGAGGAAUAUUGGUCAAUGGGCGCAAGCCUGAACCAGCCAAGUAGCGUGAGGGAAGACUGCCCUACGGGUUGUAAACCUCUUUUGUUUGGGAAUAAAGUGCGGGACGCGUCCCGCAUUGCAUGUACCAUUUGAAUAAGGACCGGCUAAUUCCGU